AACGAACGCUGGCGGCGUGCCUAACACAUGCAAGUCGUGCGAGAAAGUUCCUUCGGGAGCGAGUAAAGCGGCGCACGGGUGAGUAACACGUAGGUAACCUGCCCCCCAGUCUGGAACAACUAGAGGAAACUCUAGCUAAUGCCGGAUGAGACCACGAUCCCUUCGGGGGUUGCGGCCAAAGAUGGCCUCUACUUGUAAGCUAUCGCUGAGGGAUGGGCCUGCGGGCCAUUAGCUUGUUGGUGAGGUAACGGCUCACCAAGGCUGUGAUGGCUAGCUGGUCUGAGAGGAUGACCAGCCACACUGGGACUGAGACACGGCCAGACUCCUACGGGAGGCAGCAGUGGGGAAUAUUGCGCAAAUGGGGCGAAAGCCUGACGCAGCGACGCCGCGUGGGUGAUGAAGGCCU
rnacentral:rRNA from 1 species